rnacentral:rRNA from 1 species
CCUACGGGAGGCAGCAGUGAGGAAUAUUGGUCAAUGGCCGGAAGGCUGAACCAGCCAUGCCGCGUGAAGGGCAGGGACCUAUGGGCGUUAAACUUCUUUUGUGCGGGAGCAAUAAUGGUCACGUGUGGCCAGACGAGAGUACCGUACGAAUAAGCAUCGGCUAACUACGUUCCAGCAGCCGCGGUAAUACGUAGGGAGCGAGCGUUGUCCGGAAUUACUGGGUGUAAAGGGAGCGUAGGCGGGACUGCAAGUUGGGUGUCAAAUCUACCGGCUCAACCGGUAGGCGCACUCGAAACUGCAGUUCUUGAGUGAAGUAGAGGCAGGCGGAAUUCCUAGUGUAGCGGUGAAAUGCGUAGAUAUUAGGAGGAACACCAGUGGCGAAGGCGGCCUGCUGGGCUUUUACUGACGCUGAGGCUCGAAAGUGUGGGGAGCAAACAGGAUUAGAUACCCGGGUAGUC